GCAUUCGUGGUGUAACGGUAGCCCGCCCGACGUGUAUUCGAGAGGUCCAGGUUCGAGUCCUGGCGAGGGCA
rnacentral:tRNA from 1 species